AUGGCCGAGAGCGACUGGGACACGGUGACGGUGCUGCGCAAGAAGGGCCCCACGGCGGCCCAGGCCAAGUCCAAGCAGGCCAUCUUGGCUGCUCAGAGAAGAGGCGAAGACGUGGAGACAUCCAAGAAAUGGGCAGCUGGCCAGAACAAGCAGCACUCUGUCACCAAGAACACUGCCAAGCUUGGACCGGGAGACAGAGAAAGCUGCACCACGACAGGGUGACCCUGGAAGUUGGCAAGGUGAUCCAGCAGGGCCGGCAGAGCAAGGGGCUUACACAGAAGGACCUGGCCACGAAAAUCAAUGAGAAACCGCAAGUGAUUGCUGACUACGAGAGUGGGCGGACCAUCCCUAACAACCAGGUGCUGGGCAAAAUCGAGAGAGCCAUUGGUCUCAAACUCCGGGGUAAGGACGUGGGGAAGCCCAUUGAGAAGGGGCCAAGGGCGAAAUGA